rnacentral:rRNA from 1 species
AGAGUUUGAUCAUGGCUCAGAACGAACGCUGGCGGCAGGCCUAACACAUGCAAGUCGAACGCCCCGCAAGGGGAGUGGCAGACGGGUGAGUAACGCGUGGGAACGUACCUUUCGGUUCGGAAUAACCCGGGGAAACUCGGGCUAAUACCGGAUACGUCCGCAAGGAGAAAGAUUUAUCGCCGAAAGAUCGGCCCGCGUCGGAUUAGCUAGUUGGUGAGGUAACGGCCCACCAAGGCGACGAUCCGUAGCUGGUCUGAGAGGAUGAUCAGCCACACUGGGACUGAGACACGGCCCAGACUCCUACGGGAGGCAGCAGUGGGGAAUAUUGGACAAUGGGCGAAAGCCUGAUCCAGCCAUGCCGCGUGAGUGAAGAAGGCCUUAGGGUUGUAAAGCUCUUUCAGCGGGGAAGAUAAUGACGGUACCCGCAGAAGAAGUCCCGGCUAACUUCGUGCCAGCAGCGGCGGUAAUUC